rnacentral:rRNA from 1 species
AUUGAACGCUGGCGGCAGGCCUAACACAUGCAAGUCGAACGGUAACAGGAAGAAGCUUGCUUCUUUGCUGACGAGUGGCGGACGGGUGAGUAAUGUCUGGGAAACUGCCUGAUGGAGGGGGAUAACUACUGGAAACGGUAGCUAAUACCGCAUAACGUCGCAAGACCAAAAAGGGGGACCUUCGGGCCUCUUGCCGUCGGAUGUGCCCAGAUGGGAUUAGCUAGUAGGUGGGGUAACGGCUCACCUAGGCGACGAUCCCUAGCUGGUCUGAGAGGAUGACCAGCCACACUGGAACUGAGACACGGUCCAGACUCCUACGGGAGGCAGCAGUGGGGAAUAUUGCACAAUGGGCGCAAGCCUGAUGCAGCCAUGCCGCGUGUAUGAAGAAGGCCUGCGGGUUGUAAAGUACUUUCAGCGGGGAGGAAGGGAGUAAAGUUAAUACCUUUGCUCAUUGACGUUACCCGCAGAAGAAGCACCGGCUAACUCCGU